CAUUAAGAAGCUAUGUAUCAGCACUAGCCUUUUAAGCUAGAGAAAGAGGAUCAACUGCCCCUCCUUAAUGG
rnacentral:tRNA from 1 species